UGCUCUUAACUGCAACAAGGCGUACAAUAAUCCAAACAUUAGGAAAGUAUUUGUAGCCAAGUAUAUAACACAAGCCUAGCCAAGUAUACAACUCAAGUCUUCAAAUAAAAUAAAAUAAAAAAACAACUAGGAAAGUACUUGUGCAAAUGCCAAGGCAAGAAGUUAGAUCAAAAUAAAAAAAAUACAGAGCAUGCAAAAGCCUCGACAAAAAUACUCUUAGUGAUGAGACGUCAUGGUAACUAUGAAGACUGACUUAUUAAGAACGUCUAGAAAGUCUAUAAAAGUGACUUGAAAAUGAACAAACAUAGUACAGAA